CCUACGGGCGGCUGCAGUGGGGAAUAUUGGACAAUGGGGGGAACCCUGACCCAGCCAUGCCGCGUGUGUGAAGAAGGCCCUCGGGUUGUAAAGCACUUUCAGUGAGGAAGAACGCCUGGUGGUUAAUACCCAUCAGGAAAGACAUCACUCACAGAAGAAGCACCGGCUAACUCCGUGCCAGCAGCCGCGGUAAUACGGAGGGUGCGAGCGUUAAUCGGAAUUACUGGGCGUAAAGCGCGCGUAGGUGGCUUGAUAAGCCGGUUGUGAAAGCCCCGGGCUCAACCUGGGAACGGCAUCCGGAACUGUCAAGCUAGAGUGCAGGAGAGGAAGGUAGAAUUCCCGGUGUAGCGGUGAAAUGCGUAGAGAUCGGGAGGAAUACCAGUGGCGAAGGCGGCCUUCUGGACUGACACUGACACUGAGGUGCGAAAGCGUGUGUAGCAAACAGGAUUAGAUACCCCAGUAGUC
rnacentral:rRNA from 1 species